CCAAAGUGUUGAUUUUUUAACGUUUUAAAAAGCAAAAGUAACGUGUAAAAUGAUGAGUGAUGAUGACUGUUCCAUUUCUGAAACCCUCCCAGAACUCACGGAGGCAGUGAAUGCUGCAUCAUUGGAAUUGUUACCAAUAAAAUCUAGAAAUAAGUAUAACUAUGCAUACAACCGCUUCAUGGACUACCGUACAAAUAAAAAUGUAACUUCUUUCUCGGAAAAUGUUGUAAUGGCAUACUUCUUGGAGCUUGGUUCCAAGAUGAAUUCUUCAACUUUAUGGGCCAAUUGUUCAAUGCUGAAGGCAACCCUUGCAAUUAGACAUGAUGUGGAUAUAUCUGAAUAUUCAAAACUUCGGGCAUUCCUGAAACAACAAGCACAUGCCUAUAAGCCAAAAAAAUCCAAGAUUUUAACUAAAGAAGAAAUAAACAAAUUUAUUCAGGAAGCUCCAGAUAAGGAAUAUUUAAUGAUUAAGGUAGCUGUAAUAUUUGGAAUUUCCGGAGCUUGCAGAAUGGACGAGCUGGUUAAAAUGACUGUACAAGAUAUACAAGACCUCCUAUCUAAACUUUUAGUUACCAUACCGGAUUCAAAAACCAAUACAUCAAGAUCAUUUAUAGUAAUAGUUAUUGUCAUACAAAUAAAAUUAUUAGUUUGGAAAAUAUUCAACAAAACAAUGCUAUUAGUUCCCAAGUUCUUCCAGUUUUCAAUACUUGUACUAAUUGUCAAAUAACAGUAAAUAUAACAAAUAAUAAGUAAUAAUUUUAAAAUAUAAUGUUAACCUUGUUUGUGCUGAAAGUUUUAAAAAUAAAAUUGUUUAGGAAAAAG